rnacentral:rRNA from 1 species
UACGGAGGGUGCAAGCGUUAUCCGGAUUUACUGGGUUUAAAGGGUGUGUAGGCGGGUCUAUAAGGCAGUGGUGAAAUCUCCGGGCUCAACCCGGAAACUGCCAUUGAUACUAUAGGUCUUGAAUAUUGUGGAGGUGGGCGGAAUGUGUCAUGUAGCGGUGAAAUGCUUAGAGAUGACACAGAACACCUAUUGCGAAGGCAGCCUACUACGCAGAUAUUGACGCUCAUGCACGAAAGCGUGGGGAUCAAACAGG